GCAAGUCGAGCGGAAACGAGAAGUAGCUUGCUACUUCGGCGUCGAGCGGCGGACGGGUGAGUAAUGCCUGGGAAUAUGCCUUGAUGUGGGGGAUAACUAUUGGAAACGAUAGCUAAUACCGCAUAAUGCCUACGGGCCAAAGAGGGGGACCUUCGGACCUCUCGCGUCAAGAUAUGCCUAGGUGGGAUUAGCUAGUUGGUGAGGUAAUGGCUCACCAAGGCGACGAUCCCUAGCUGGUCUGAGAGGAUGAUC
rnacentral:rRNA from 1 species